UGCUUAAUACAUGCAAGUCGAGCGAGAAAGGGGAGCAAUCCCCGAGUAAAGCGGCAGACGGGUGAGUAACACGUGGGCAAUCUACCCUCGAGUGGGGAAUAACAUCUCGAAAGAGGUGCUAAUACCGCAUGACAUCAAGACGUCCUAGGGCGUUUUGAUCAAAAAGGUGGCUCUUCGGAGCUGCCACUCCCAGAGGAGUCCGCGGUGGAUUAGCUAGUUGGUGGGGUAAUGGCCUACCAAGGCGACGAUCUAUAGCCGGCCUGAGAGGGCGAUCGGCCACACUGGUACUGAGACACGGACCAGACUCCUACGGGAGGCAGCAGUGGGGAAUAUUGGACAAUGGGCGAAAGCCUGAUCCAGCAACGCCGCGUGGAGGAUGAAUGUCUUCGGAUUGUAAACUCCUGUCAGGUGCCACGAAAAACUCCUGUCAGGUGGGACGAAAACACUGACGGUACCACCAGAGGAAGCCCCGGCUAACUCCGUGCCAGCAGCCGCGGUAAUACGGAGGGGGCGAGCGUUAUUCGGAAUUAUUGGGCGUAAAGGGCGCGUAGGCGGCCUGACAAGUCAGGGGUGAAAUCCCUCGGCUCAACCGAGGAACUGCCUCUGAAACUGUCAGGCUUGAGGCCGGGAGAGGGUAGUGGAAUUCCCAGUGUAGCGGUGAAAUGCGUAGAUAUUGGGAGGAACACCAGUGGCGAAGGCGACUACCUGGACCGGUUCUGACGCUGAGGCGCGAAAGUGUGGGUAGCAAACAGGAUUAGAUACCCUGGUAGUCCACACUGUAAACGAUGAGCACUCGGUGCUGCGGGUGUCGACCCCUGCAGUGCCUUAGGAAACGCAUUAAGCGCUCCGCCUGGGGAGUACGGUCGCAAGGCUGAAACUCAAAGGAAUUGACGGGGGCCCGCACAAGCGGUGGAGCAUGUGGUUUAAUUCGACGCAACGCGAAGAACCUUACCUGGGUUUGAACUGCAGGUGACCGCCUCAGAAAUGAGGUUUUCCUUCGGGACACCUGUAGAGGUGCUGCAUGGCUGUCGUCAGCUCGUGUCGUGAGAUGUUGGGUUAAGUCCCGCAACGAGCGCAACCCUCGUCCCUAGUUGCCAGCGGGUAAUGCCGGGAACUCUAGGGAGACUGCCCCGGAAAACGGGGAGGAAGGUGGGGAUGACGUCAAGUCCUCAUGGCCUUUAUGUCCAGGGCUACACACGUGCUACAAUGGGCGGUACAAAGGGUUGCGAUGCCGCAAGGUGGAGCCAAUCCCAAAAAGCCGUCCUCAGUUCGGAUUGCAGUCUGCAACUCGACUGCAUGAAGUUGGAAUCGCUAGUAAUCGCGGAUCAGCACGCCGCGGUGAAUACGUUCCCGGGCCUUGUACACACCGCCCGUCACA
rnacentral:rRNA from 1 species